GAAAGCGAUGCUAAUACCGAAUAAUAUCUCAUUUACUCGGUUUUUUGAGAUCAAAGGUGGCCUCUCCAUGGAAGCUUCUGUUUGGAGAUGAGCCCGCGUACCAUUAGCUUGUUGGUAGGGUAAUGGCCUACCAAGGCAACGAUGGUUAGCUGGUCUGAGAGGAUGAUCAGCCACACUGGAACUGACACACGGUCCAGACUCCUACGGGAGGCAGCAGUGAGGAAUUUUGCGCAAUGGGGGAAACCCUGACGCAGCAACGCCGCGUGAGUGAUGAAGGCCUUCGGGUCGUAAAGCUCUGUCAAGUGGGAAGAACCUGCCUUUUGCUAAUAUCAAUUGGCACUGACGGUACCACUNGAAGGAAGCACCGGCUAACUCCGUG
rnacentral:rRNA from 1 species